ACAGUUGUAGUUUAACAAACGAGAAUGUCGAGCAAACUCAAGCUCGAAACGUUUAUCUUGCGCUCAUUUGAACUGUUUGAAAAAUGUAACAAGCGGCGUGAAAGAUUCUCGUGCCCAAGACUCCCGGUGUAUUCAAUUAGGGUAAAUGACGAAUUGGUGCAACCUCGCUACGGCAGUCGGCCAACAGCAAUUGUUGUUAGUUCAUCUACCGGUGAGGGAGCGAGAUUCACUCUACCAAUCACCUAGCUUUGAUGGCUGUGAAGAUGCAGAUUUCUUACAAUACCACGAUGAUUGUUAGACGAGUUUGCAGCAAGUUUAUGCAAGCCUUAAGUGUUAACUUUGAGAGAUACCAGUCCUUCACUAGUAGUGUUUGGCCAUAUCGGUGAACAUUCGAAAAAAAUGAAACAAAAAUUUUCAUUUCGUGCGCUUCUCGUGGUGCACCAGUGUUUUCUCUAAAUGAGAGAACCGUAAUUAAGGAGUGGCAAUUUAGCUAAUGAGUGAAGAUUGGAAUAAUUGUGUUUUUCGGCAACAGAAUCUGCAGUGUACAUUUGAUGACAUUGAAUUUGAUAUCCUGUUAAUCGAAAUAAAUUCGUACAAAUGAAACCAAUAAAUAA